GCUGGUGGGUGACGACCGUUGGUCGUCACGCUUUUCUCCCGGCAAAGGCGUGACGACCAACGGUCGUCACCCACCAAC
rnacentral:antisense_RNA from 1 species